UACGGGGGGGGGCAAGCGUUGUUCGGAAUUACUGGGCGUAAAGGGCUCGUAGGUGGCCAACUAAGUCGGACGUGAAAUCCCUCGGCUUAACCGGGGAACUGCGUCUGAUACUGGAUGGCUUGAGUUCGGGGAGAGGGAGUGCGGAAUUCCAGGUGUAGCGGUGAAAUGCGUAGAUAUCUGGAGGAACACCGGUGGCGAAGGCGGCAUCCUGGACCGACGACUGACGCUGAGGAGCGAAAGCCAGGGGAGCAAACGGG
rnacentral:rRNA from 1 species